AAAAAAGAAGCCCCGAGUACUUGUUUCUGGCAAGUGUAUCACUGACGAGCAUCCCUGUGACCUUGGACAAGAAUCCAAUAGCUUCUGAGUGGAAAAAACCCACGGAGAUGAUGAAGAAGCAGAGCUUUGUCGUGAGGGAGAGAGCGUUGUUUCCUAGGGAGCUUUGGACAGCUAACGUGUACCCUGUGUACCCUGGAGAGAAGACCCCCACGUGGAGAGAGAAGAGAACAGACUCUAGCAAGAUGCCGGGCCUCUGACCUCCCAACACACAAACAUGUUAAAAAGCCAG